CUGCCGCCCGCUCUGAGGCGGGGCCGCCCCUCCGCGGUCACGGGGCCGUGCGCGCGGCGAUGGCGGCGCGCGGCGCAGCGAUGGCGGCGGCCAGCGCCGUGUGGCUCGGCGGGGACCCGGUAGAGUGGGUGCUGUGCCCCUACGACGUCCAUCACCGUGUCCCCCGCGCGUCGCUGGAGAGGCACGCGGCGUCCUGCCGGCUGCGCAGGAUGGGAUACUCCGCCGAGGAGGAGGCCGAGAUGUACGACUCCAGCUUUUUCUACGAAAACCUGAAGGUUCCCACCAUCGCCAUGGAUAAAGAUCUACAGUUUCACAUUGUUAAGCAGGCUAGAGCCCAAACUGCAAAGGAAGGUGCAGGCUACAGUGAAGGAUCUUACUCAUUACUGCCCAUAGAAGUUCCUCAAAACCACAAGCGUUUCACGUGUGACCUGACCCAGGCUGACCGCCUUGCUCUUUACGAUUACGUUGUUGAGGAGACAAAGAAACAGAAGUCCAGAUCCCAGAUAACGGAAAAUGACAGUGAUCUCUUCGUGGAUUUAGCAGCGAAAAUCACCCAAGAUGAUAGUCAGAAAGGUCCGAAGUCCCAUCUUGAAAUUCUGGCUGAAAUGCGAGAUUACAAAAGGCGGCGGCAGUCAUACAGAGCUAAGAAUGUUCAUAUAACAAAGAAGUCCUACACUGAGGUGAUUCGGGAUGUGAUUGGUGUGCAUAUGGAAGAACUCAGCAAUCAGUGGCAGGAGGAAAACAGGUUGGAUAAUGCAGAGAUAUGUGAAGGAGGGAAGUCAAAGUCUUCAGGAAGUUUAUUUUCAGAAGGGAAGACAGGCGGUCAGCUUCGGUGGACUCACGGCAGUCUGGAGGAAGCAGUAAGGAUACGGAGUGCAUGAGACACAGGAGAGACACCAGCAGGAGUCCAAGUAAACGAAGGAGGAGUCGGGAGAGAGGCAAAGACAGAGACUCUCGGAGAAAAAGAGAGAGGGAUGAAGACAAGUAUUACAAUCACAAAAGAAGAAAGUAGGAACAAGAACCUGAUGGUUUUGUUUGUCAGCUGUUCAGAACAUAACUUCCACAAGAACUGCUGUUACUGCUGUUUUGGCCAAGACAGUAAAGGUGUGCACAUAAUAUUGGUGUUGCAUCACACCUGUGCUGCUUGGAGACAAAAAUGUGCUACAGUUUGUUAGGAUGGAAGCAGUAUAUUUCAGAUAAUGUGUAAAUCUGGAACAUUUAUACAUCUGUUAAUAAAUUAUAUUGAUCUCUCA